CAAAGGAGCUACGGCGCAGGGGUGGAGAUGUGCCGCUAGCAUGGGCUGCCCUGAAAAGACUGUGCCGCAAACUCAGGGCCUUUGGCAGAGUCAGCAAAGGUUAAAAAAAAGAGCCAGGAAGAAUAUCUAGCGAAAGAGUGCCCAGCGCAGAGGGCACCUCAACUGCCAAAGCCCCACGAUGAGAGAACGUCGAGUACAUUUAGGAAGGCUCAUGGCUGGAACAGAAUGAGCGAGAGGAGAACCGAAGGAGAGAAGGCAGUGCAGGUGGCAGGGAGCUGGCCCUGAACAGGUGGAGCACGAUUUCUUGGAAAAAAGAGGGGAGCCUGUCUUGGAGGCUAUCUGAAGAGCCACUCACUACAGAGUGAACAGUGGAUUGUCCUGGCGGUGGCGGAGGCUGAGACGCAGAGCGAGCUGGGUGCCCUGCAAAGCUCGAUGCGAGGGACAGUGAGGCAUGGGUCAAAGGUAACACCAAAGGUCAUGACCUGAGUUGGAAGGACAGAGGUCCUGUGCAUGGAUAGAUUCAAAAACAAAGCCAACAAAUGAAAAGAAAUAAAAUCUACUACCACCACGACCACCACCAGCCAGACCACCACCAGCACCACCAGCAUCAGCACCAGCAUCCUGGGCUAAGAAGGAGGCUCCCUAAGUGGGUAGUGUGAAGGUCUUGCCCAGGGUUUUCCAGCAACCCAGAAGCAGAGUUUUGGCUUAGCUUAGGAGUUUGCUGCAAAGGACCUGGCAGCUGUAGUGAAGACUCAAACAUGUUUUCUCUCUAAUUGUACUUUGGCAAAGACCUUGGAUGGGGUCAUGUAUUAGAGCAGCGAGCUGUCUCACCUGAGAACCGCAGGGAACACUCUGCAUAGUGCCCUUUUCUCCAGCUCACUGUGAAGAUCCAGGGGUUAAGCUGUUGGGCAUUGGAACUGAACUGCGGAAGCUCAGGGCUCUGCGCAGAUGAGAGCAGGCCAGUGACCAAGGCUUGUAGAGUGGGAUGUCUUCUAUCAACAGCCUUGUUCUCUUAUGAAGCUCCCCUUCUGGCUGUAGAAAGCAGUCUUCUUAAUUCAGGCUGUGCCAGCCUCUUGAGUAAAGCAUCCUCUUUAGAAUAGUUACUUUUCUUCCCCUUGAGGGCUUUCUCCACCUCCUGCUUCACAAGGAGGCAUCUGGCCAGUUGCAAGGAAAGCUGAGGCAUCCUCCUGCUGCUAAAUCCACUUCCUCAUCUACAUAAUAACAAUUUGGUGUACAAAUUCAGAGAGCGGCGGGCAGUAAAUGCCAUCGUAGGCUCUGUAAACCUGAGCCCUGCUGGAGCCUGGAGAUGCUGCCUUGCCUUAGGAGCUGUCCUGGCUUGUUGGUCUCAAAGCUGCCUGCAAAGAGUGUGACUCCUCUCUGCUCCCAGGGCUGAAGGUCAUUGUUAAUUGGCAUGGCUGCUCAAAUCAUCUCUGAACAUCGCCUCCUAGAAAAAUCCUUGCAAAGUGGAGAACCCAAGGGGAAGAGCAGAACUCUGAUAGUGGGCUGAAGAUAAUUUCACUGGCUCACCACGGGCCUUGUUUGUCGGUGAUAAAAUAAAAGACGGGAGCUCAGAAACCAAAUUGGCUUCAGAGCUGAUGUGUGGCCGAGUUGUCUUGAUGAGGUGGCUGGGAGCUGUAAAGCAAGCUUUCCCUUUAAUGGGUGUUUUGUGCCUGUCUGGCUUCUUGUCCAGAGACUGGGCAAAAUCUAUUAGUGAGAUCCACACUAUUUGCUGGUCAUACCGCAGCCAUAUGGGAGACGACUAGCCCAUUUCUUUUCUGAUCCCCUAAUUGGAACUGCUGACUGACUUGUAGGUACCUGAGUGGCUUAAAACGGGGAUGAUAAGAGCUCUGGUAUCAAAGUGUUUUAAAGGGCAGCAGGAGACAUCAUUCACACUGUCUGCAGAUCCGUUUGGAUGGAUGCGGAUGUCUGCCAGGAGCAGCUGGCCUGGAAGGUGUCUGUGCAGAGACUGCUGACUGGCAGUGACCUCUCACUGCUCUUCAGCAGCAGAAUUCUGCUGAGUCUAGUGGGCCAGGACUGCAUAUAUUUGAAGCCAGCUAGAGAAGAGUACGGGCUCCUUUUCUGAGUCGUCCUUAUCAUCUCAGGGAGCAUAAGCUUGCAGGAAGUUUUCUGAAAGAGAAAGAAGGGAGUGUAGUGUUCAAUGAAAGAAGGGAGCUACCUCCAAAUGUGACAUGAAAAACAAUUCAGACAGGGUUGGUUGGUUCCAAUUAACCCCCCACAUGGGUCUACCAAUGACUGAAGGGGUUAUGGACCAUCCCUUUGGUUAACAGGUGGGUAACUGAAGUCCAUAUUCUCAAAACUUGUGAUUUUAUUGAGUCAUUUCCUAGUAAGGCCAAAGCUACCACUAUUUACAGCUUACUAGUAUGGUAAGUCUCCAAAAGAGAGUUCAUUAGUGUGAGAGGAGAUAGAGAAUCUCUUGUGAAGAAGCUAGAUUUUCUUCUGCAUUUAUUUAUUUAUUUAUUUAUUUACUUACUUACCUCUUUACUGCACUUCACAGAGUGAGUCCCUUCUAAACAAGGCAGUCAACUCAAUUUGUCAACCUUCUAUUGGGCACUUACUCUGUCCUGGGACUGGUAGGUAUUGUAGAGCAAGAAUAAGUACAGCCUGACUGUCCAGGCUCCUGUCUGGACUCUCUUCAUUUCCUCCCUGCAUGAAGCUCAGCAUCUAACUUUUCCCUGUAUUCCCUAGGCUCUAAUGUUGUUGGAAGGCUGUGGGUGGAUUUUUCUUUCCGCAGAAAUGUGAUGGGAGAUAACAAAAUGUUUUUAUGCUGUAACAACUCAAAAUGGACCAAAGAAGUAUACGUUGUAAGAUAAAAAUGAAAAGAGAAAAUAUAAGCGGGAAUAAAUAUUCAAAAUAUGUGCCAUAAACCCCCACAUGUUUGCUUGGGGAGCGUGCAUUUGGCUUAGAGCAUCCUUCAUAUCCACUGUAAGGAAAAAUCCUGGACAGGCAUUGGAUCCAUGUUAUUCUUAGGACAGAAACAAUUGCUUACUUUGAGAAAAUACCUGUUCCUGAAUGGAAAGAAAUUACUUUCAUAGGUUUAAAGAGAGUGGCAUAUAAUAGUAUAACUUACUGUGUUCUCUUUGAAUUUCAAAGAUAGAUAAGGGGUUUCUUUCAGGUCAGUUGUCUCAUUCAUUUAUUCUUUAACAAUGAUUUUCCCAUAGAGAAAGCCAAUCCUGGGAUUGCUAUGCUUUCAACAAUCAUUAUUUUAAAUACCAGACUAAAGAAGACUUCAAAUCAACAUCAGGAAGGAGAUGCACUGUUUAACGUGACCCACAUGAGCUAGGUAUAAGUUGGACACUUUGCUGUUGGUAACACUAUAAGACAACAUCCUCAUCUCUGUUUAGUUUCUCCUCUUCAAGUAUGAAGUGUAGGACUUUAGGUUUGGGGCAAAGAGUCAUGAACUCACAGGUCACUGUUCUUCCUCUCUACGAACAACUAAAUGCAAUGAUUUGGGUAUAGCUCUGAAGGAAGGAAAAAGUACAGGAGUAUCAGAACUGAAAGAAUAAGACAUUGAGUUACCUGGGUUUUCUUUUUGUCUCCUAUACAUCCUAGAGGAGAUGACAGAGGGGACUGCAAACCAGUAGAUACAGCACCCCCCACAAAAGAAACAAAGAAUGAACAAAAAGAAGGAAAGA